AUAUUAGAGUGAUCAUGAUCGUGAUCGUGACCAUGACCAUGGCCGUGAUGAUGGUGAUGGUCGUGUCCAUGGUGAUGAUCAUGAUCAUCAAUAAUA
rnacentral:pre_miRNA from 1 species